ACACUUCCUCAAGGGGUGUGACUGUCUGUUCUCUUCCUUCACUCCCUCACUCCCUCACUCCUGCCUGCCUCACCUGCCGGAGGGGAAACACAAGGCGAGAUAACAAGCAUGAGGGCGUGGGCGGCAUGGUGGUGGUGGUGCUGGUGGUGGCUGUGACGCGGGUGAAGGCUGGCUACGGGCCGGGCCGCUACGUGUACCAUGGAGGCGGCACCCAGGUUCAGACGGUGGUGGAGACAGUGACAGAAACAGUGGUGGAGACACAGACAGAGACGGUGGUGGAGACACA